rnacentral:tRNA from 1 species
GGCGCGGUCGUCUAGAGGCCUAGGAUACCUGGUUUUCAUCCAGGAGAUCACGGGUUCGAAUCCCGUCCGCGCUGCCA